AGUCAGAACUCACAAGACUCGCAACUAAAAAUCAACAGCAAAGUCCAUGUAACAAGAGACAAUACGACAUUGCAAGUCUGGAAAGGACUCUUAUUUUUUGUCUUAAGCAAAAGUGUUAAAAUAAGUCGAUCAAAUAGUAGCCACCAGACAGUAAAUAAUGAGAAUGAAGCUCCAAGUGCCUGACUUAUAACGUAGACGACCAAAAACAAUUGAUUUUCAUUAAAAUAAAUCUGGUAGUAGGGACAUUAUAAACAAAAAUAGAAUGUAAAUCUCCACGAAUAAGGCAACUAAGUCAUGAGACUUUGAGGGUAGGGCCUAGGGGUAACUGCAUAAUUAUCUACCAAAUUAUCUACUCACAGAAAAAUAGACAAGAAUAACUGAAGAAUAUAAGAUUUAGUUUCUAAUCUAACAUGUGACAGAGAUGGCGACAAUCAAUCUUUAGGUCCCCAGCCUAAGACGUAUUCGGUUUCUCAAGAUAUGCACCAGAUACCUUUAUUAACUGAUCCCAAGCUUGAGAACAAAAGGCCUCCGUUUCUAAGGACAGGUUAAUGUCCAA